rfam:Salmo salar isolate Sally breed double haploid chromosome ssa12, whole genome shotgun sequence.
UUUUGCACUCUGUGUGAGUCGCUCUGGAUAAGAGCGUCUGCUAAAUGACUUAAA